rnacentral:lncRNA from 1 species
AUACAUCACAAGUUAUAAUCAGUCAAACAGGGUUGACCAAAACUGCAAAACCAGCGAAUCCAGAAAUUUCUUGAGUGCUGUCCGUGGUCGACUUUGACCAGUAAUUUCUAGUUCUAUCUGAUGUUAUUAUGAUGAUGUUAAGGUUUGUAGUUGUAUUCCUACAUGUUGUCUACACACUAGAAGUGAUAGAGCACAAAAAUGUUAUACGAUCACCACGUUAUAGAGGUCCAAAGUAGGCACCUCGAAGCUGUUUUUCGUGAAGAACAGCUUUGGCAGCUACUUUGAGGUUCGUUUUCUCCCAGAUCUGAUGUUGUUUAGAGGUUAUGUUUGUUGGAUCUUGUAGUCUUGUAUUUUCUCUACAAGACCCAAUUUAUAGAUUGUCCAAAUUCGUUAAGAUGAGAGAGUUAUUCACGGUCAAAGUAGCCCACUCGGUUCUGCCUUAUGAAGAUCUGGGUAGGCUCAAGAACACCUAUAGCGACGGUUCUGUCACUAUAGGGGCCUUUAGCGAC